CGGACGGGUGAGUAACGCGUGAGUGACCUACCUUCGAGUGGGGGACAACCUUCCGAAAGGGAGGCUAAUACCGCAUGACAUCCCGCCCUUGGACGGGCGGUGAUCAAAGCCGGGGAUCUUCGGACCUGGCGCUUGUUGACGGACCCGCGUCCGAUUAGCUUGUUGGUAGGGUAGCGGCCUACCAAGGCGACGAUCGGUAGCCGGCCUGAGAGGGCGGACGGCCACACUGGGACUGAGAUACGGCCCAGACUUCUACGGGAGGCAGCAGUAGGGAAUUGUUCGCAAUGGGCGAAAGCCUGACGACGCAACGCCGCGUGGAGGACGAAGACCUUCGGGUUGUAAACUCCUGUCGAGCGGGAAGAACUGCCCGCGGGCCAAUACCCCGCGGGCUUGACGGUGCCGCUAAAGGAAGCCCCGGCUAACUCCGUGCCAGCAGCCGCGGUAAUACGGGGGGGGCAAGCGUUGUUCGGAUUUACUGGGCGUAAAGGGCUCGUAGGCGGCCGUCCAAGUCGGUUGUGAAAUCCCCGGGCUCAACUCGGGAAUUGCAGCCGAAACUGGACGGCUAGAAGCCGGGAGAGGGAUGCGGAAUUCCAGGUGUAGCGGUGAAAUGCGUAGAUAUCUGAAGGAACACCCGUGGCGAAGGCGGCAUCCUGGACCGGUCUUGACGCUGAGGAGCGAAAGCUAGGGUAGCAAAUGGGAUUAGAUACCCCAGUAGUC
rnacentral:rRNA from 1 species